rnacentral:rRNA from 1 species
GGGUCAGUAGGUUAGGCGUGCCACCGGUACGUACUGGUCUCACUGAUUCCUCCUUCCUGAAGAACCGUAAUGCCAUUAAUUUGGUGUUGCGGGGAAACAGGACUGUUACUUUGAAAAAAUUAGAGUGUUUAAAGCAAGCUAACGCUUGAAUACAUUGGCAUGGAAUAAUGAAAUAGGACGAUCGAUCCUAUUUUGUUGGUUUCUAGGAUUGACGUA